rnacentral:rRNA from 1 species
UGAGCAAUCUGCCCUUCUCAUCGGAAUAAGCGUUGGAAACGACGUCUAAUGCCGAAUACGACCUCCUUUCGCAUGAUCGGAGGUGGAAAGCUCCGGCGGAGAAGGAUGAGCUCGCGGCCUAUCAGCUAGUUGGUGUGGGUAAUGGCCCACCAAGGCGACGACGGGUAGCCGGCCUGAGAGGGUGACCGGCCACACUGGGACUGAGACACGGCCCAGACUCCUACGGGAGGCAG